rnacentral:misc_RNA from 1 species
GAUGAAGAACGUAGCGAAAUGCGAUAAGUAAUGCGAAUUGCAGAAUUUCCGUGAGUCAUCGAAUCUUUGAACGCACAUUGCGCCCAUUGGUAUUCCGAUGGGCAUGCCUGUUCGAGCGUCAUUAUCUUCCCUCAAACCUCGCGUUUGGUGUUGGGCCGUGCUGGUUCCUGCGUGACCAACUGGCCUCAAAGACAAUGACGGCGUCCGUGGGACCCUCGAUGCAACGAGCUUCUCAGGAGCACGCGUCGAGUUUCAAGGACCUUCCGGGCCGGUCUCUUCUCAUGUUAUUACAAGGUUGACCUCGGAUCAGGUAGGGAUACCCGCUGAACGUAAGCAUAUCAAUAAGCGGAGGA